rnacentral:rRNA from 1 species
GAUUAACGUUGGUAGUAUGCCUAACACAUGCAAGUCGAGCGGGAAGUAGUAGCAAUAUUACUUUUAGCGGCGAACGGGUGAGUAAUACUUAUCUUACUUGCCAAUUAGUGGGGGACAACCAUAGGAAACCAUGGCUAAUACCGCAUUUGUUGCUUCGGCAAUGAAAGGAAGUCGCAAGACUUUCGCUAAUUGAUAGGGAUAAGUCGUAUUAGUUAGUUGGUGGGGUAAGUGGCCUACCAAGACCAUGAUGCGUAGCCAACCUGAGAGAGUGAACGGCCACAAGGGAACUGAGACACGGUCCCUACUCCUACGGGAGGCAGCAGUGAGGAAUUUUCGGCAAUGGGGCAACCCUGACCGAGCAAUACUACGUGAAGGAGGAAGGUCUACGGAUUGUAACUUCUGUUAGCGCAGAAGAAGGGCUGAACG